AAUUUCAGUCAGAGUGUUUCUAUAAAGAAUCCAUCUUUAUGAAAUACUCAUUUUAAUAUGGGGUUACAGUGCUGCUUUGAAUGAUGUGCCUGACUUUUUUUUUUUUUUUUUUAAACAGACCGGGGGAAAAUGGAGUUCAGUAGCAACAGUAGUCUUGAAAUGUGAUCCAGAGGUGCACUUUACAGUUUCUCUAUCUCCAGUGCUCUACUUGUGCUGUAGUUCCACCCCAUUGGCACUUUAUUGUAAAUGCAAUAACGCACACACUCGCUCUCUUCCCCUCACCACCCCCCCUCCCAUCUCCACCUUGCUGCGUUGGUGAAUAGAAAUGAAAGCGUUUACAGGAUCAAGGCUGCGUACAAUGCUAGAGGUACUGGUGUGAUAUUUAUAGAAGUAUUAGCAUUGCAUCAUUCAGUGUUUUGUCCAAGGCUGGAAGCAGCAGGCAGCCUCUGUUCAGUGUUUAAUAUAGUCAGACUUGUACAGAUGUAUUGUUCCUCAGCACCUUGUUUACAGCCUUCCUUCCUCCUGCAGCAAAGACUGCCUGCACCCCCCACUAUUACAGGAAAUCCAUUCACAGAGCUGCAAUGUUUCAUCUACCCAUCCUGUACAUUCUAAACAGCCAUGCCAGGGGACGUCAUGCUCAGAUACAGCUUCUUCGUUCGACUCUAAUGUAGAGCUGGCAGGCAGCCUGGACAGGCCAAUGUAACUGAAGCUGCACAAUGGAACAUAAUAGAACGUGCAGGUUACCAAGCAACUUGCCAGCUACAGAACCUCAUAGCCAAGAGCACCAACUGGCCUGUGCGCACACACUGCUCAGCAUUGUGAUAUUACUGAAAAGAACUCCUGCAUCAGGCCAGUAGGACCCAUUCAUCUUCUUUCAGGGUGGUCCGUUUGUAAAACGGUUUUCUUAUGGUGACAACUAUUUUAUAUUGAUAGAUUAAUAAAUAUUACAUGCAUAAUCUCACUAUCUGUCCUUGCAAUGAACAAGUACAGUAAUACAAUAUCAGCACCUCUAUGUACACAGUGCAAGAAGUGCACAGGUUUAGUAUUAAACACACAAAAAAAAAAACCCUAGUCUAAUGUUCUGGGAACAUUUGUGAUUGGAUUAACUUCC